UACAGGGGGGGCAAGCGUUGUUCGGAAUUACUGGGCGUAAAGGGCUCGUAGGUGGCCAACUAAGUCAGACGUGAAAUCCCUCAGCUUAACUGGGGAACUGCGUCUGAUACUGGAUGGCUUGAGUUUGGGAGAGGGAUGCGGAAUUCCAGGUGUAGCGGUGAAAUGCGCAGAUAUCAGGAGGAACACCGAUUACGAAGGCAGCUCGCUGGGACGUUACUGACGCUGAGACGCGAAAGCGUGGGGAGCAAACAGG
rnacentral:rRNA from 1 species